UUUCAGAGGAAAAGGUCUUGCUAUUGACGCGUAUUCAGUUUGGUUUCAUUCUGGUCGACUCACCAAAAACCAGGAAACUCCGUCAGUGUUGUUUCAGUUUUUGUCACUUUUGGUUUCAUUUUCAUCAGAAGACUGAGAAACUGAACACGUGGAGAAGGUCUUGUCAUUGGCGCUUAUCCAUUUUGGUUUCAUUCUGGUCGACUCAUCAAAUCCUGUGAGUAUACAUCAAUAUUUUAAUAGCUUUGUUAUUAAUAGUAGACUGAAAUCAUUGACUAAACUGUUUACAGUCGAUCUACUUUUUGAACGCAAUUAAAGAACCUGGGAGAAUUUGUCACCGUAACGUCGACUGAAAUGACUAACUACUUUUAAUUCUCACGUCGUGCAGUUAAUAGAUUAAGCNG